rnacentral:rRNA from 1 species
GAUGAACGCUGGCGGCGUGCCUAAUACAUGCAAGUCGAGCGAACGGACGAGAAGCUUGCUUCUCUGAUGUUAGCGGCGGACGGGGGAGUAACACGUGGAAAACCUACCUAUAAGACUGGGAUAACUUCGGGAAACCGUAGCUAAUACCGGAAAAUAUUUUGAACCGCAGGGUUCAAAAGUGAAAGACGGUCUUGCGGUCACUUAUAGAUGGAUCCGCGCUGCAUUAGCUAGUUGGUAAGGUAACGGCUUACCAAGGCAACGAUGCAUAGCCGACCUGAGAGGGUGAUCGGCCACACUGGAACUGAGACACGGUCCAGACUCCUACGGGAGGCAGCAGUAGGGAAUCUUCCGCAAUGGGCGAAAGCCUGACGGAGCAACGCCGCGUGAGUGAUGAAGGUCUUCGGAUCGUAAAACUCUGUUAUUAGGGAAGAACAUAUGUGUAAGUAACUGUGCACAUCUUGACGGUACCUAAUCAGAAAGCCACGGCUAACUACGUG